UACAUGGGGUGCAAACGUUGCUCGGAAUCAUUGGGCGUAAAGCGCGCGUAGGCGGUUACUUAAGUCGAAUGUGAAAGCCCUCGGCUUAACUGAGGAAGUGCAUCCGAAACUGAGUAGCUAGAGUACGAAAGAGGGUCGCGGAAUUCCCGGUGUAGAGGUGAAAUUCGUAGAUAUCGGGAGGAACACCGGUGGCGAAGGCGGCGGCCUGGGUCGAGACUGACGCUGAGGCGCGAAAGCGUGGGGAGCAAACAGG
rnacentral:rRNA from 1 species